rnacentral:rRNA from 1 species
CGUGACGGCGCGAGCAGGUGCGAAAGCAGGUCAUAGUGAUCCGGUGGUUCUGAAUGGAAGGGCCAUCGCUCAACGGAUAAAAGGUACUCCGGGGAUAACAGGCUGAUACCGCCCAAGAGUUCAUAUCGACGGCGGUGUUUGGCACCUCGAUGUCGGCUCAUCACAUCCUGGGGCUGAAGUAGGUCCCAAGGGUAUGGCUGUUCGCCAUUUAAAGUGGUACGCGAGCUGGGUUUAGAACGUCGUGAGACAGUUCGGUCCCUAUCUGCCGUGGGCGCUGGAGAACUGAGGGGGGCUGCUCCUAGUACGAGAGGACCGGAGUGGACGCAUCACUGGUGUUCGGGUUGUCAUGCCAAUGGCACUGCCCGGUAGCUAAAUGCGGAAGAGAUAAGUGCUGAAAGCAUCUAAGCACGAAACUUGCCCCGAGAUGAGUUCUCCCUGACCCUUUAAGGGUCCUGAAGGAACGUUGAAGACGACGACGUUGAUAGGCCGGGUGUGUAAGCGCAGCGAUGCGUUGAGCUAACCGGUACUAAUGAACCGUGAGGCUUAACCUU